rnacentral:rRNA from 1 species
GGAUGCGAUCAUACCAGUACUAAUGCACCGGAUCCCAUCAGAAUUCCGCAGUCAAGCGUGCUUGGGCGAGAGUAGUACUAGGAUGGGUGACCUCCUCGGGAAGUCCUCGUGUUGCAUCCC